UAUGAGCCAAUCGGAAGAUGUUACCGAUGAGAAAGGGGGGGCGUGGUUAACACCUCCCACCAAUGAAGGCGUAGAAAAACAAAAGGGAGGAAAAAGCGGCUUUUGAAAAGACCACCCAGUCAAAGACAGGGGGGUGGGGUCUGGGCACAGCUUGUGUUCAGACAGACAAGAAACAUCUGGAAGUGUUUAUAUAUAUAACUUGCCAGAGCCUAAACUCCAGAUGCCGACACACACACACACACUCACACAAUGAUGUCAUCCUCCAGCACAAAGGCCACAGAGCAGAAACUCCCCCCCGCCCCCCACCACCACAGUUUCCUGGAAGCUAAAAGUUGAGCAUUUGUUCCACAGAAGAGAUCUGAGCAGCCCUGCCACGUCGCUGAUCAGAGAGGACCCAGACAGCCCUCUUCCGCAGCUCCAGUUUACAGCCUGGGAGCUGCUAGUUUCUGCGGACGCUUGGAGAAUUCUAUUUCUUGGGAGAGAAGGAGGAGGACCUCAUUGCCCCCCCUUGUCUGCCCAGUGUUCAGACUACCUGUUCAUGAUGCUGUAGGUGUACAGUAGUCUGCACAUUGGUUAGGCUGGGAGGGACAGGCAGCGUGCAGCCACACCGACAGACUGAGGAAGCCCUGGACUUCACACACUCAACACUGCUGCACCAGGAGAGACUGAAAGAAACUGCAAUUCAACGACAAAGCGUCUCGAGCACAAGUCUCUAUCAAUAUUACCCAGGAGCGCGGAGUCCAGUCCAGACUGAUAAAGUCUCUCAGUGGUCUCGUCGUCACAAUCCUGUCCAAUGUUUACACUGGAAAUAAGAAUCCCUUUACACUGGGGUGUGUUCCACCAAUCUAAACAGAGCAGUACCGGCCCACUAGCAAGACUCACAAUGGACUGUUUAGCGAUAAGCCCUGCAGUGCGAGAGAGAUUCCUUAUACUACUUUCCGUUGCAACUCGAGGGAGGUUUUUAUUUUGAUGAUCGGAAGGGUGGUGGUAUGAACAUCAACUGAACGCAGUGUUGACUGUCCAGUUUGUUUAGAAUUUGUAACAUAAAACCGCCUUGCAUGUUCGUGAGUGUACUAAACAGAUAUUAAAAAAUGCAGAUGUGUGAAUUAUUAAAUAUGAAAAUGAACUGGAUUUCACCAGACUUUGCUAGUUAUUAUUUCCAAUAAUUAAACGUAUUCUUUUUAAAAUUCAA